rnacentral:rRNA from 1 species
UACGUAGGGUGCAAGCGUUAAUCGGAAUUACUGGGCGUAAAGCGUGCGCAGGCGGUUUGGUAAGUCUGUCGUGAAAUCCCCGGGCUUAACCUGGGAAUGGCGAUGGAGACUGCAAGGCUAGAGUUUGGCAGAGGGGGGUAGAAUUCCACGUGUAGCAGUGAAAUGCGUAGAGAUGUGGAGGAACACCGAUGGCGAAGGCAGCCCCCUGGGUCAAAACUGACGCUCAUGCACGAAAGCGUGGGGAGCAAACAGG